GCAGUGUACCCGCGGCAAGACGGAAAGACCCCGUGAACCUUUACUAUAGCUUGACACUGAACACUGGUCCUUGAUGUGUAGGAUAGGUGGGAGGCUUUGAAGCGUGGACGCCAGUCUGCGUGGAGCCAUCCUUGAAAUACCACCCUUUAAUGGCUGGUGUUCUAACGUGGACCCGUAAUCCGGGUUGCGGACAGUGUCUGGUGGGUAGUUUGACUGGGGCGGUCUCCUCCCAAAGAGUAACGGAGGAGCACGCAG
rnacentral:rRNA from 1 species